rnacentral:hammerhead_ribozyme from 1 species
AUUCAACUAAUGAGUCCCAAAUAGGACGAAAUGCUCGUCUUGAAC